CAUUUAAAAUUGAUUUCAUGACCCAGUUUUUUUUGAUUCAUAAAGAUAAUGAUGUCUUUUAAUAUUUCAUUAUCAUAAAUUGCAACUAAGUAUCUUGGAGGUAUCUAAUAUUUUAUGCCAAAAAGAAUGGGGUUUUGAAUUUCCGUGCGUGAUUUAAAAGAUCUAAUUAUUUAGAUAGAAAAGUGUUAAAAAGUUUUAGUUAAGUGAUAUUUUUUACUUUGCGUAUUGUUAGGUUACUGAAUUGAAUGGCAAAUUUUUUUUUUUCUUCUACGACAUUUUAGCAUUGUUUUUUUUGCAUCACGCACAGACAUAUUACGCACGGACAAAUAUUCAUCCGUGCGUGAUAAUUAUUUUUCUUUAGCUUCAUAACGUUUGAAUAGGAUAUUAAUUAGUUUGAGUAUAACUUAGUUAGAUAGAAAACAGUUGCUUAAAAGAAUUUAGAAUUAAAAUGAACAAAGUUAAGCAUUCAAUAGUUCAGAAAAAAUUUAGAAAGAAACAUCCAGAAUAUUGGAUUGCUGAAACUAAUCGAAUGAAAAAUAAAAGAGCUAACAUGAGCGAAAAAGUAAAGGAGGAAGUAUGUCAAAAAAACCGUGAAAGAAAGAAGCAAAAGCGAGAGGUGAACCAAUCUACAUCUGAUAUUAAACAAUCCUUUUUAUCUCCGCAGAGUUUUAGAAAGGCACUUAAAAAAAUUAAUUCAGCAUUACCCGCCAAUUCAUACAAAAGAAAAUACCUUUUAAAAAAAAUUUGUAAACGUGAAAACAUACUACUUUCCAAUAUUUUAGAAUCAGGCCCUGACCACGUCGGUUUGGACGAUGUUAAUUGCAAAGUUAUUGAUUUUUAUUUGUGAGAUGAUAUUAGUAGAAUGACUGCAGGACGCAAAGAUGUUGCUAUUAAUAAGAAAACAAAAGAGAAGGUAUGACACAUCGUUUAUAUGUAGGAAUCGCAUUUUAUUUAAUAAGGUUUUCAGUUUUUGUAAACAAUUUUUGUUUUCUUUUAGAAACAAAUUUGUCACAUGCUGAUGACCAUAUGAGAAGCAUAUUCACUUUUUAAAAGUGAGCAUAUUAAUUUAAAUUCUAUGUCAAGCUAGUAAACGAUAUUACUUGCGAUAUUUGCCUUUGCAUAUACCAUGAAAAUUUCAGGUUGUUAACGAAUGCCCUUCAAAAAAAAUUUAAUGUUAUGUCAUAAAUAGUUGACAGACCUGUGUGUAAUCAAAACAACCAAUUAAAAACAACUAAGCAAAUUGUGGGUUGCCAAAGUUUGAUGAAUAUGUUUCUAAUGUAAUAGACUCAUUUGGUGACGAUUCCAACAAAAAACGCGCAGAAAAUUGAACAACCACUAACAUCUUUGUUAAAGGGGUGCGUAUUACUGCGUCAGCAAUUGCCAGAUUAUAUACGGCAUGUGUAUAUAAAGCAACAACAAAGUGCAUAUUUUCGUUUAUGUCACUAAAAUGUAUCAGAAAAUGAAUUGAUUAUACAAAUGGAUUUCAGUGAAAAUUACACCAUAAUGGAGCAAAGUGAAAUUCAAUCUGCUUACUGGGUUCAUCAGCAACUAACAGUAUUCACUGCAGCAAUUUGGAGUAAGAACAAUACACAUUCCUAUGCCAUUGUAUCCGAUCGUUUACUUAAUGAUAAAUAUGCCGUCUUGUUUAUUAUCAAUGGAUUAUUAAGUUGUUAUCAUAAUAUUUGUAAAUUACACUUUUUCACUGAUGGUCCUUCAUCACAAUUCAAAAACACUUAUGUCACGACAGCCAUGAAUAAUUUGUCCAAAUUAUCAUCUGAACUUCUUGAGAUUCGUUAGUCAUUUUUUGCAACAUCACACGGAAAGGGGACAGUUGGUGGCAUAGUUGGAGAAAUAAAAAGAAUGGUUUGGACAACAGUAAAAUCUGGAAAAUGAUAUUGUUGCAGUUUACAAGAUCUUGUGAGCAUUGCAAGUGAAAAAAAUACCAAAAUUAAUAUCAUCUCUAUUACAAAUGAGUGUAUUACCGCAAACCAAAGUGAGAUCAAUGAGACACUUCUCAAAGAUAAGUUUAAAGUCAAGGGUAUUCGUCGCCACCACUCUUCUUUUUAAUAUCGAUGGCAUUUACAUGGCAAUUUAUAACCAAUCAGAAAUAGUAAAAAUUGUUAAGAAUUCAUCAUCUUCAUUAUUGAUAAACGCGGUAUCAUCCCCAUCUGAAAGGUACAAAUUUAAUACUAUUUCUCCAGGUAUAUUUGUCUUUGUAGAAUUGCGUUCUGCUGGUAGAGCAAAGAUAUACCUUGCCGAAGUAUUAGAUAAUAUGGCACAUAUUAAAUUCCUAAAAGAACAAAACGAACUCAUUUUUAUAUACCCAUCUGUAGACGACCUCUCCUGGCAUGACUUGUGUGAGUUAAAACCGUUAGUACCGCAACCACACUUUAAUAACCGUGGGCAUAUUAUUAUCAAGCCAAAGUGUUACAACUAAACAUAUUGAUAAAAAUUUGAUAUUGUAUCUUUCUUUUCUUUAAUAUAUUAUUAACUAUAUAAUA